AUUGAACGCUGGCGGCAGGCCUAACACAUGCAAGUCGAGCGGCAGCGGAAAGUAGCUUGCUACUUUGCCGGCGAGCGGCGGACGGGUGAGUAAUGUCUGGGAAACUGCCUGAUGGAGGGGGAUAACUACUGGAAACGGUAGCUAAUACCGCAUAACGUCGCAAGACCAAAGAGGGGGACCUUCGGGCCUCUUGCCAUCAGAUGUGCCCAGAUGGGAUUAGCUAGUAGGUGGGGUAACGGCUCACCUAGGCGACGAUCCCUAGCUGGUCUGGGAGGAGGACCAGCCCCACUGGAACUGGGACACGGUCAAGACUCCUACGGGAGGAAGCAGUGGGGAAUAUUGCACAAUGGGCGCAAGCCUGAUGCAGCCAUGCCGCGUGUAUGAAGAAGGCCUUCGGGUUGUAAAGUACUUUCAGCGGGGAGGAGGGUGUUGAAGUUAAUAACCUCAGCAAUUGACGUUACCCGCAGAAGAAGCACCGGCUAACUCCGUGCCAGCAGCCGCCGUAACAC
rnacentral:rRNA from 1 species